rnacentral:misc_RNA from 1 species
UUCUGGGGUCUACAGAAGAAGGAGAAGCUAAAAGGGGUGAUUUUGUUUUUUGUUUGUUGUUGUUCUAAUGGGGAUAUGUUUGAGUGCUAGAAUUAAAGCUGAAAGCCCAUUUCAUACAGGGCUAAAUUCAAGAUCUGUUAGCAUAGAUGGUGGUGAUAGUAAUUCAAGCUCCAGGGUUCCAUCAACUACUAGAAGUGAAGGAGAGAUAUUGCAGUCUCCCAAUUUGAAGAGCUUUAGUUUUUCUGAUCUCAGAACAGCCACUAGGAACUUUCGUCCCGAUAGUGUGCUGGGAGAAGGUGGAUUUGGAUCAGUUUUUAAAGGGUGGAUCGAUGAGAACACGUUCGCAGCUACCAAGCCUGGGACAGGUGUGAUCAUUGCUGUGAAAAGGCUUAAUCAAGAAGGUUUUCAAGGUCACAGGGAAUGGCUGGCAGAAGUUAACUAUUUGGGGCAGUUUUCUCAUCCUCAUCUUGUAAAGCUGAUUGGCUACUGCUUGGAGGACGAACAUCGUCUUUUGGUUUAUGAGUUCAUGCCUCGGGGCAGCUUGGAAAACCAUUUGUUUAGGAGAGGUUCUUAUUUCCAGCCUCUUUCUUGGAAACUACGCUUGAAGGUUGCUCUAGGAGCUGCAAAAGGGCUUGCUUUUCUCCACAGUGCUGAGACUAAAGUGAUAUAUCGAGACUUCAAAACCUCGAAUAUUUUGCUUGAUUCGAACUACACUGCCAAACUCUCAGACUUUGGAUUAGCCAAGGAUGGGCCAACAGGCGAUAAAAGCCAUGUCUCUACAAGGGUUAUGGGGACCUAUGGAUAUGCCGCUCCAGAAUACAUGGCUACUGGUCAUUUAACUAGCAAGAGUGAUGUGUAUAGUUUUGGA